rnacentral:rRNA from 1 species
CACGUAGGGUGCGAGCGUUGUCCGGAAUUAUUGGGCGUAAAGAGCUCGUAGGCGGUGUGUCGCGUCGGCCGUGAAAACCUGCAGCUUAACUGUGGGCUUGCGGUCGAUACGGGCAUCACUGGAGUUCGGCAGGGGAGACUGGAAUUCCUGGUGUAGCGGUGAAAUGCGCAGAUAUCAGGAAGAACACCCGUGGCGAAGGCGGCUUUCUGGGACGGUACUGACGCUGAGACGCGAAAGCGUGGGGGAGCGAACAGG